UACAGAGGUCUCGAGCGUUCAACGGAUUCAUUGGGCUUAAAGCGUACGUAGGCGGAUGUGCAGGCGUCGUGUGAAAGCCCUCGGCUCAACCGAGGAAUUGCACGGCGAACCGCAUGUCUUGAGACAAGUAGGGGCGGUCGGAACGAUAGGUGGAGUGGUGAAAUGCGUUGAUAUCUAUCGGAACGCCGAUGGUGAAGACAGGCCGCUGGGCUUGUUCUGACGCUGAGGUACGAAAGCAUGGGGAGCGAACGGG
rnacentral:rRNA from 1 species